rnacentral:rRNA from 1 species
AGUACCUACGGGAGGCAGCAGUGGGGAAUAUUGGGCAAUGGGCGCAAGCCUGACCCAGCAAUGCCGCGUGAAGGAAGAAGGCCCUCGGGUUGUAAACUUCUUUUAUCAGGGACGAAGGAUGUGACGGUACCUGAUGAAUAAGCUCCGGCUAACUACGUGCCAGCAGCCGCGGUAAUACGUAGGGAGCAAGCGUUAUCCGGAUUUACUGGGUGUAAAGAGAGCGCAGGCGGCAUGGCAAGUCUGAUGUGAAAACCCGGGGCCCAACCCCGGGAGUGCAUUGGAAACUGCCAGGCUGGAGUGUCGGG